AUUGAACGCUGGCGGCAGGCUUAACACAUGCAAGUCGAGCGGGGGAAGGUAGCUUGCUACCGGACCUAGCGGCGGACGGGUGAGUAAUGCUUAGGAAUCUGCCUAUUAGUGGGGGACAACAUCUCGAAAGGGAUGCUAAUACCGCAUACGUCCUACGGGAGAAAGCAGGGGAUCUUCGGACCUUGCGCUAAUAGAUGAGCCUAAGUCGGAUUAGCUAGUUGGUGGGGUAAAGGCCUACCAAGGCGACGAUCUGUAGCGGGUCUGAGAGGAUGAUCCGCCGCACUGGGACGGAGAAACGGCCCAGACUCCUACGGGAGGCAGCAGUGGGGAAUAUUGGACAAUGGGGGGAACCCUGAUCCAGCCAUGCCGCGUGUGUGAAGAAGGCCUUAUGGUUGUAAAGCACUUUAAGCGAGGAGGAGGCUACUUUAGUUAAUACCUAGAGAUAGUGGACGUUACUCGCAGAAUAAGCACCGGCUAACUCUGUGCCAGCCGCCGCAGUAAUAC
rnacentral:rRNA from 1 species